rnacentral:rRNA from 1 species
AGAGUUUGAUCAUGGCUCAGAGCGAACGCUGGCGGCAGGCUUAACACAUGCAAGUCGAACGGGCAUAGCAAUAUGUCAGUGGCAGACGGGUGAGUAACGCGUGGGAACAUACCUCUUGGUUCGGAACAACACAGGGAAACUUGUGCUAAUACCGGAUAAGCCCUUACGGGGAAAGAUUUAUCGCCGAGAGAUUGGCCCGCGUCUGAUUAGCUAGUUGGUGUGGUAAAAGCGCACCAAGGCGACGAUCAGUAGCUGGUCUGAGAGGAUGAUCAGCCACAUUGGGACUGAGACACGGCCCAAACUCCUACGGGAGGCAGCAGUGGGGAAUAUUGGACAAUGGGGGCAACCCUGAUCCAGCCAUGCCGCGUGAGUGAUGAAGGCCCUAGGGUUGUAAAGCUCUUUUGUGCGGGAAGAUAAUGACGGUACCGCAAGAAUAAGCCCCGGCUAACUUCGUGCCAGCCGCCGCGGUAAUUCA